rnacentral:rRNA from 1 species
AGAGUUUGAUCCUGGCUCAGGAUGAACGCUGGCGGCGUGCCUAACACAUGCAAGUUGAGCGAUUUACUUCGGUAAAGAGCGGCGGACGGGUGAGUAACGCGUGGGUAACCUACCCUGUACACACGGAUAACAUACCGAAAGGUAUGCUAAUACGGGAUAAUAUAUUUGAGAGGCAUCUCUUGAAUAUCAAAGGUGAGCCAGUACAGGAUGGACCCGCGUCUGAUUAGCUAGUUGGUAAGGUAACGGCUUACCAAGGCGACGAUCAGUAGCCGACCUGAGAGGGUGAUCGGCCACAUUGGAACUGAGACACGGUCCAAACUCCUACGGGAGGCAGCAGUGGGGAAUAUUGCACAAUGGGCGAAAGCCUGAUGCAGCAACGCCGCGUGAGUGAUGAAGGCCUUCGGGUCGUAAAACUCUGUCCUCAAGGAAGAUAAUGACGGUACUUGAGGAGGAAGCCCCGGCUAACUACGUGCCAGCAGCCGCGGUAAUACGUAGGGGGCUAGCGUUAUCCGGAUUUACUGGGCGUAAAGGGUGCGUAGGCGGUCUUUCAAGUCAGGAGUGAAAGGCUACGGCUCAACCGUAGUAAGCUCUUGAAACUGGGAGACUUGAGUGCAGGAGAGGAGAGUGGAAUUCCUAGUGUAGCGGUGAAAUGCGUAGAUAUUAGGAGGAACACCAGUUGCGAAGGCGGCUCUCUGGACUGUAACUGACGCUGAGGCACGAAAGCGUGGGGAGCAAACAGGAUUAGAUACNCACCAUCCUCCACCAAAAAAAUGCGCGGAUGUGGCGGAAUUGGCAGACGCACUAGACUUAGGAUCUAGCGCCAUUGGCGUGGGGGUUCGACUCCCUUCAUCCGCACCAUUUUUGUUUGAUAUACAUAUAUAAAUUGUGGGUGCAUAGCUCAGCUGGAUAGAGCAACGCCCUUCUAAGGCGUGUGUCCGGGGUUCGAAUCCCUGUGCGCUCACCACAUAUAUUGGGGAUUAGCCAAGUCGGUAAGGCACAUGACUUUGACUCAUGUAUGCGUAGGUUCGAGUCCUGCAUCCCCAGCCAAAUGAUGUAUUACUAAGCUAUAUUUGAAUUAUUU